UGGUCAGAAUCGAGAUGGUUUCGAUCAUGGAAAGACACCAGUAAGUGGGGUUGCUGGUUUAAUCUUUCAGUAGCCCAAAGGGGUGAGUUGAGAUCGAUCCAGAGUAUUGAUAAAUGACUCUCACAGUUGCUGCAUCUGGAGGCAGUUACAGAGAAGAGGGGAGAGAAAGAUUUGAAACAGAAGAAACCAAGUGACAAAGAGGUCACUAUUUGGACUUUCUCCAUGUAGCCCGUAAGGGAUUCUUUUGAAGACCUUGACCUCGGUUCUUCGGUUCUUUGCGGGAAUGGGACCCGUUCUCGGGGUUUUAGGACUGGCUGCGUUCGGCAUACCAAAGGCUCAGUCUGAGAGGUGGCCUCGUGUUUGGAAGCCUAAGAUCUCAGAGCUCUGGAGACGGGUGGAUCGAGGGUCGCUGUCAAGGCAGGAGACUUGUGUUGUUGGGGAGGCCAGAAAGUCUUUCGCUGUGGGCCUGAAGACCCAAGAUCUUUGCGAUCUUUAGGCAUAGAGCUUGUAAAAAGAGAUGAAACUGACUUUUUAAUAUCAUAAACCAGCAGGUUGUUGUUAUGUCUCCCACUCGCUGUGAAAAUGGAGGACACCUCCUUCUCUGGAUCUCUUUAUUGCUAAUUGCCGACGGGACAUCAACCAUCUCGACUUCACACCAUGUUCCAAUUCCAACCUUACUCCUUCCAAACGCUCUGUUCUCCGCUCCCUCCGCACCAAUCCCAACCUUACUAUAAAACCCGCUGAUAAGGGGGGAACUGUUGUAGUCUGGCGUACUGACCUCUACCUGGCUGAGGCACAACGACAACUCUCUGAUACCUCCUCUUAUUUACCCCUUGAUCAUGACCCCACGAAGGAGCACCAGGCCACUGUCCCCUAUACCAUCACCAAUCUUAUCAGCGCUGGGGAUCUCCCAUCCACUGACACCAACCUCAUAGUUCCCACACCCCGCAUUUCACGUUUCUACCUCCUACCCAAGAUCCACAAACCUGCCUGUCCAGGUAGACCCAUUGUCUCAGCUUGCUCCUGCCCCACCGAACUCAUUUCUGCAUACCUUGUUCAAUCCCUUCCCACCUAAGUUUGUGACACUUUUCAUGCUUUGAAUUUUUUCAAGGAUUUUAAGUUCCCUGGCCCCCACCGCCUUAUUUUCACCAUGGACGUCCAGUCCCUAUAUACCUCCAUAUCCCACCAGGAAGGUCUCAAAGCUCUCUGCUUCUUUUUGGAUUCCAGACCUAACCAAUUCCCCUCUACCACCACUCUCCUCCGACUAGCUGAAUUAGUUCUUACUCUCAAUAAUUUCUCCUUUGGCUCCUCCUACUUCCUCCAAACCAAAGGUGUAGCCAUGGGCACCCGCAUGGGUUCUGGUUAUGUCUGCCUUUUUGUUGGCUUUGUGGAACAGUCCAUGUUCCAAGCCUAUACGGGUAUCCGUCUUCCUUCGCUACAUCGAUGACUGCAUUGGCACUGCCUCCUGCACACAUGCUGAGCUCGUUGACUUCAUUAACUUUGCCUCCAACUUUCACCCUGCCCUCAAAUUUACCUGGUCUAUUUCUGACAUCUCCGUCCCCUUUCUUGAUCUGUCUGUCUCCAUCUUUGGAGACGACCUAUCUACUGAUAGCUAAUAUAAGCCUACAGACUCUCACAACUACCUGGACUAUUCCUCUUCCCACCCUCUCUAGCAAAAAUGCUACCACCUUCUCAGAAUUCCUCCGCCUCUGCCGCAUCUGCUCUCAGGAUGAUGCUUUUCAUUCCAGGAUGAAGGAGAUGUCUUCCUUUUUUAAACAAAGGGGCUUCCCUUCUUCCACCAUCAACUCUGUUCUCAAACGCAUCUCUCCCAUUUCCUGCACAUCUGCCCUCACCCCAUCUGCCUGCCACCCCACUCGGGAUAGGGUUCCCCUUGUCCUUACCUACAACCCCACCAGCCUCCAAGUCCAACGUAUAAUUCUGCGUAACUUCUGCCACCUCCAUACGGGAUCCCACAUCAAGCACAUCUUUCCCUGCAGAAAGCCGGGUGGGGGGGGGGGGGGGGGAGGGAUCACUCCCUACGCGACUCCCUUGUCCAUUCAUCCCCCCCAUCCCUUCCCACCGAUCUCUCUCCUGGCACUUAUCCUUGCAAGUGGAACAAAUGCUACACCUGCCCUUACACUUCCUCCCUCACCACCAUUCAGGGCCCCAGACAGUCCUUCCAGGUGAAGCAACACUUCACCUGUGAGUUGGUUGGUGUGGUAUACUGCAUCUGGUGCUCCUGGUGUGGCCUUCUAUAUAUUGGUGAGACCCGACGCAGACUGGGAGACCAUUUCAUUGAACACCUACAUUCUGUCCGCCAGAGAAAGCAGGAUCUCCCAGUGGCCACACAUUUUAAUUCCAUGUCCCAUUCCCAUUCUGAUAUGUCUAUCCAUGGCCUCCUCUACUGUCAAGAUGAAACCACACUCAGGUUGGAGGAACAAUACCUUAUAUACUAGCUGGGCAGCCUUCAACCUGAUGGCAUGAACAUUGACUUCUCUAACUUCUGUUAAUGCCCUUACCCUUCUUACCCCAUCCCUGAUAUAUUUAGUUUUUUUUCUCUCUCUGCCCAUCACGCUGCCUGUUCUCCAUCUCCCUCUGGUGCUGCCUUCCCCCUUUCUUUCUCCAUAGGCCUCCCGUCCCAUGAUCCUUUCUCUUCUCUAGCUCUGUAUCCCUUUUGCCAAUCACCUGUCUGGCUCUCAGCUUCACCCCACCCCCUCUGGUCUUCAAUCAUUUUGCAUUUUCCCCUCCCCCUCCUACUUGCAAAUCUCUUACUAUCUUUCCUUUCAGUUCGUCCUGACAAAGGGUCUCAGCCUGAAAUAUCAACAGUGCUUCUCCCUAUAGAUGCUGCCUAGCCUGCUGUGUUCCACCAGCAUUUUGUGUGUUGCUUGAAUUUCCAGCAACUGCAGACUUCCUUGUGUUUGCUGUGGACACCUCCUUCUCCCCUAUUAGGGAGACAGAGAACUGUUGCCGAUUGCCAGAUGAAUUGCAAUAGGCUUUGGGGUAACUGCAAGUCUGUUUCUUUGCUAUUGCCUAGCUCAUACUUGUGCUCAGUAGCGGGUGCACUUUUUUUUGCUGGGAGGGGAGGGAGGAUCGUUGCUUGCUGUUGCUUAUGCACGGGAGCGGGGAACUGGAGGAGGACUUUGGAGCUCUCAUGUUUAACUUUCGUUCAUUCUUUGGGGCACUUCUCUGUUUUUGUGGAUGUUUUGCAAAGAAAAAUCAUUCAGGAUGUAUAUUGUAUACAUUUUUCUGACAUUAAAUUGAACCUUCGAACCUUU